rnacentral:rRNA from 1 species
UACGUAGGGAGCAAGCGUUGUUCGGAUUUACUGGGCGUAAAGGGCGCGUAGGCGGCCAAUUAAGUCAGCUGUGAAAUCUCCGAGCUUAACUCGGAACGGUCAGCUGAUACUGCUUUGCUAGAGUGCAGAAAGGGCAAUCGGAAUUCUUGGUGUAGCGGUGAAAUGCGUAGAUAUCAAGAGGAACACCUGAGGCGAAGGCGGGUUGCUAGGCUGACACUGACGCUGAGGCGCGAAAGCCAGGGGAGCAAACGGG